rnacentral:rRNA from 1 species
UGGUGUAUAUAUGGUUUAAUAUUAUUGUUUAAUAACAUGAAUUUGUGUAUAUUUAUAAAGCCAAGUCUAUGUGCUGCUUGUAAAAGAUUUUAUGGGUUACAUUUUUUUUUGUUAGUUAUGAGAAUUUGAUUUUUUAUUAAGACUUAAAAGUUAUAUAGAAUGAUUUUGUCUAUGUGAAAAAGGUUUAUCUCGUGUACACACCAC